CGUAGGUGGCAAGCGUUGUCCGGAUUUAUUGGGUUUAAAGGGUGCGUAGGCGGCCUUAUAAGUCAGUGCUGAAAUAUCCCGGCUUAACCGGGAGGGUGGCAUUGAUACUGUAGGGCUUGAGUGUAGUCGAGGUAGGCGGAAUUGACGGUGUAGCGGUGUAAUGCUUAGAUAUCGUCAAGAACACCGAUAGUGUAGACAGCUUACUAGGCUACAACUGACGCUGAGGCACGAAAGUGUGGGGAUCAAACAGGAUUAGAUACCCUGGUAGUCCACACUGUAAACGUUGAUUACUCGCUGUUGGCGAUACACAGUCAGCGGCUUAGCGCAAGCGAUAAGUAAUCCACCUGGGGAGUACGCCGGCAACGGUG
rnacentral:rRNA from 1 species